AUUGAACGCUGGCGGCAUGCUUUACACAUGCAAGUCGAGCGGCAGCGCGGGGGCAACCCUGGCGGCGAGCGGCGAACCGGUGAGUAAUGCAUCGGAACGUAUCCUCGAGUGGGGGAUAACCCAGCGAAAGUUGGGCUAAUACCGCAUGAGCUCUGAGGAGGAAAGCGGGGGACCUGCGAGGGCCUCGCGCUGGAGGAGCGGCCGAUGUCCGAUUAGCUAGUUGGUGGGGUAAAGGCUUACCAAGGCGACGAUCGGUAGCUGGUCUGAGAGGAUGAUCAGCCACACUGGGACUGAGACACGGCCCAGACUCCUACGGGAGGCAGCAGUGGGGAAUUUUGGACAAUGGGGGCAACCCUGAUCCAGCCAUGCCGCGUGAGUGAAGAAGGCCUUCGGGUUGUAAAGCUCUUUCGGACGGAACGAAAUGGGCGGGACUAAUACUCCUGUCUGAUGACGGUACCGUAAGAAGAAGCACCGGCUAACUACGUG
rnacentral:rRNA from 1 species